GACGAACGCUGGCGGCGUGCUUAACACAUGCAAGUCGAACGAAAAGAGGGAAAGAGCUUGCUCUUUCCGGAAUUGAGUGGCAAACGGGUGAGUAACACGUAAACAACCUGCCUUCAGGAUGGGGACAACAGACGGAAACGACUGCUAAUACCGAAUAAGUUCCAAGAGCCGCAUGGCCCAUGGAAGAAAAGGUGGCCUCUACCUGUAAGCUAUCGCCUGAAGAGGGGUUUGCGUCUGAUUAGCUGGUUGGAGGGGUAACGGCCCACCAAGGCGACGAUCAGUAGCCGGUUGAGAGGAUGAACGGCCACACUGGAACUGAGACACGGUCCGGACUCCUACGGGAGGCAGCAGUGGGGAAUCUUCCGCAAUGGGCGAAAGCCUGACGGAGCAACGCCGCGUGAGUGAUGACGGCCUUCGGGUUGUAAAACUCUGUGAUCCGGGACGAAAAGGCAGAGUGCGAAGAACAAACUGCAUUGACGUACCGGAAAAGCAAGCCACGGCUAACUACGUGCCAGCAGCCGCGGUAAUACGUAGGUGGCAAGCGUUGUCCGGAAUUAUUGGGCGUAAAGCGCGCGCAGGCGGCUUCCCAAGUCCCUCUUAAAAGUGCGGGGCUUAACCCCGUGAUGGGAAGGAAACUGGGAAGCUGGAGUAUCGGAGAGGAAAGUGGAAUUCCUAGUGUAGCGGUGAAAUGCGUAGAGAUUAGGAAGAACACCGGUGGCGAAGGCGACUUUCUGGACGAAAACUGACGCUGAGGCGCGAAAGCGUGGGGAGCAAACAGGAUUAGAUACCCUGGUAGUCCACGCCGUAAACGAUGGAUACUAGGUGUAGGAGGUAUCGACCCCUCCUGUGCCGGAGUUAACGCAAUAAGUAUCCCGCCUGGGAAGUACGAUCGCAAGAUUAAAACUCACAGGAAUUGACGGGGGCCCGCACAAGCGGUGGAGUAUGUGG
rnacentral:rRNA from 1 species